UACGUAGGGACCAAGCGUUGUUCGGAUUUACUGGGCGUAAAGGGCGCGUAGGCGGCGUGGUAAGUCACUUGUGAAAUCUCUGAGCUUAACUCAGAACGGCCAAGUGAUACUGCUGUGCUAGAGUGCAGAAGGGGCAAUCGGAAUUCUUGGUGUAGCGGUGAAAUGCGUAGAUAUCAAGAGGAACACCUGAGGUGAAGACGGGUUGCUGGGCUGACACUGACGCUGAGGCGCGAAAGCCAGGGGGGCAAACGGG
rnacentral:rRNA from 1 species